rnacentral:lncRNA from 1 species
CUGAUGACAGACGAUCUUUCAUUUUUUAAUUACAAUGCAAGCAAAAGACCAUAAACCACAUUCUUAAUGCACCCCAUCCACCCUAAAAUCCUGUAAACCCAGAUUUCUAUACCCAGUGAAAAUAUCUGUCAAACAUUAAGGUUAAACACAGACUCUUUCAAACAAACAAAGUCUAAAUAAAUUUCUCACCAGCAGACCCACACAAUGAGAAGUGUUAAGGGGAGUCCUUCAGGCAGAAGGAAGAUGAUCUCAGAUGAAAAUAUGGAUCUACACAAGGACCAUUGGCUGGAGCUCCUGGAGAAGCACAUGUGCCAGCAUUGUUUAAAAUCAAGUCAAUUCCUGACAGUUCCAAUGCAUUAGAGAAAAAGAAAAUGUAAGUGCUGCAGGGUGAUGUGGUGGCAGCAACUUUUGAAGAGUAUAUUUUUUCCACAGCAGGUGAGUACUAAUACGUUUUAUGCAAUUUAUCAUCCUUGUCUUUGUUCAAGGGAUUUUUUUGUAAAAAUAAGAAUAAAGAUUUUUUUUAAUCUUAAGACUAUAACAAGUCAAAUAUUUCAUGAUUCCUCCAUGGCCAGCCAAUCAAAAUACUCACGUAGGCUGGAUAAACUUAAGAGCCACACUGUAAUUUGAUUCAUUGUGCAUUGAUUCAUUC